rnacentral:lncRNA from 10 species
GCCUUCUUCAGUCAGGAGGAGCAAAGGUGCUACCUGGUCAUUCUGUACCUUUAUUUAAAGAGGCCACACAUCUUUUUUCUGACUUGAAUAAACUGAAACCAGAUGACUCAGGAGUUAAUAUAGCAGAAGCUGCUGCCCAGAACGUGUACUGCUUGAGAACAGAAUACAUUGCUGAUUAUCUCAUGCAGGAAUCACCUCCUCAUGUAGAAAAUUACUGUCUACCAGAAGCUAUUUCAUUUAUUCAGAAUAAUAAGGAACUUGGGACUGGAUUAUCACAAAAGAGGAAAGCUCCUACAGAAAAAAAUAAAAUCAAACGACCUAGAGUACACUAAUCGCAUCUACCCUUUAGUUACCAAACAUUAAAUGUUUUUAAAAAUUGAAAGCCUGAAUGUGACUGUGAUAGAUUUGGGUAGUAAUUUAAAGAUGAGUACCUGAAGAAUUCUGCUUCAGAGUAUAAUGAUGACCCUUCUUGAGUUUUGAACACCUGAAAUUGUAAUCACUGAAAUAUUAACUGUUUCUUAAUAAAAAGUUACCUGAAAUAACAACAAAAUACAACUCCUCAGCUAGCUUGCUGUUAAACCACAUUGAAGUCUGUUAAAAGAUAUUUAUUUUUCUUGUAAAUAUCUGAAGCUGUAGCUUAGUGGAAAUUUUAGCAAGGUAAUGGAUUUUGCUUUAAAAUGUCUGCCUUACAAAUUCAUAACAACAAGAUUUGUCAGUCAGCAUUUAUUCAUGUUUUCCCUGAUUUUUAUCUUCUCACCAUUUUACCUCUUUUAACAGGAGCCUGAGCACAAGGUUUAAUGAGGAAGCUGGGGCUAUAAAUAUGUGUGUAUAUAUGUAUAUGUAUGUUUGUACAAAUCUCCAUGAUGUUUGCCAAGUUUGAAUGCGCAAAACUUGGAAAAUGUGACAAUAAAGAAUAAAAGUAGUAAC